rnacentral:rRNA from 1 species
UAACGCGUUAAGUCGACCGCCUGGGGAGUACGGCCGCAAGGUUAAAACUCAAAUGAAUUGACGGGGGCCCGCACAAGCGGUGGAGCAUGUGGUUUAAUUCGAUGCAACGCGAAGAACCUUACUUAUUCUUGACAUCCAGAGAACUUUCCAGAGAUGGAUUGGUGCCUUCGGGAACUCUGAGACAGGUGCUGCAUGGCUGUCGUCAGCUCGUGUUGUGAAAUGUUGGGUUAAGUCCCGCAACGAGCGCAACCCUUAUCCUUUGUUGCCAGCGGUCCGGCCGGGAACUCAAAGGAGACUGCCAGUGAUAAACUGGAGGAAGGUGGGGAUGACGUCAAGUCAUCAUGGCCCUUACGAGUAGGGCUACACACGUGCUACAAUGGCGCAUACAAAGAGAAGCGACCUCGCGAGAGCAAGCGGACCUCAUAAAGUGCGUCGUAGUCCGGAUUGGAGUCUGCAACUCGACUCCAUGAAGUCGGAAUCGCUAGUAAUCGUAGAUCAGAAUGCUACGGUGAAUACGUUCCCGGGCCUUGUACACACCGCCCGUCACACCAUGGGAGUGGGUGCAAAAGA